ensembl:lncRNA
GUUCUGGGGGCUCUUUCUUCCUGUUCCAGAUGUUUGAUGUAGGGCUCAGAACUCUCCCUCCUGUAGGUGAGUCUCUGUGAUACAGUUACUUUCCAGUUUGUGGGGUUUCCCACCCAGGAGGUAUGGAGUUUCUUAUAUCUCAUAAUCAUACCUCCUACCUCUUGAUGUGGCCUCCACUUUGUCUUCUGAAGUGGGAUAUCUUCUUGAAAGUUUAUGGUCCAUUUGGUUGAAGAUUGAUCAGUAUUUGAUUGUCUAAAUGUUCUUUUAUUCUGUUCAUGACUGUACUUUUAUUCAUUGAAUGAAAGUAAAGUUUUUGCACUGUGUGCCAUGCCUUUGGUUUGUGUGAUGUGAAAAUUUACAAACAGGCUUAAACUUUUUUCUAUCCUUAAAAUCUACAUCUGUUUGUCAAGUUUUUUCAGUCUUAAUGAAUAUUCUGAAUUCACUAUCCAAAUUAAAGGACCUCCUCCAUUUGUCCCCUAGCCAUAUGAUUGCAAGAAGGGUCCUUCCCAUCUCUAGUUAGCUUACUCACCCUUAUUAAUUCUAAGGUAUGCCAAGUGUUCUAAGACAUCUAUCUUGCUUUUUGCUUGUCACAUAUUUUUUUCCAGUGGGCUGCACCAGGCUGUCGGCCAUAUUUUCUGUUUUGUAAAUUUAUAUCUAGACUGUUCAAUUUUCUCACCAAAAUAUUGUCCUCCAAGCCCUUCUCCUUUCUUCACAUCACAGCUAACACCAGACUUUAAUGUUUGCUAAAGAUUCAAGAAUAAUUGAAAGUAAUAGCAUCUAGGAUAAAUAUAUGUAGCGUCAGAUAUAAGACAGUUCUCAAGUAAUUUCGCCAUAAUUCAUCACCAAAGGCUCUCCUCUUAGUCUUAGUUCAGUACCUUGUUGUUGAUGCCUACUGUUCCCUUUCAUCUUUGGAGUUAUUUAGAGCAUACUGAAAACACAGAACAAAACAAUUGUUUUCUCUCGUUUCAACCAAUGUAAAGAAAUGAUUCAGUUCACAAUACAAAGUUUUUUACUCCUGAAAUUAACCCUUCAGUUGGAGGUACAAUUGACUCUUGGGUAAUGUUGGGGUUAGGUGAGCUCACCAUGCAUACAGUUGAAAAUCUACUCAUGGCUUAGCUGUAGUUCAUCUGCACCGUUGGUUCCUAUGAAUUGAGGAUUGUUUAGUACUGUAGUAUUUACCACUGAAAAAAUAUCUGCAUAUAAGUUGAACUUUCAAAUAAAAACGCAAGUUAUUCAAGGGUCUAUAUUGGGUUACUUGGUCAAUGUCCAGACCCUUUCCUGUGUUUAUACAUAGGGUUAUAACUUGAAUAUUUGACCAAGAACUAUUGAGGUACCUCCCAUAACAAGGGAAGCAUCUCUCUGAAGAUUUUAGUAUCUAUCUUUUAACAUUAAAGGUAAGCCGCAAGCAGGAAGAAACUCUUAACCUUCAUUUUAAGAAAUGUUUAGAGUUGGGUUGUGUAUCACUAUUAUCUUAUUAAACAAUCUAACCAUGGCUGUAGAUUUACCAUUAACAAUGAGACUUAUGGUACCCUUUUUGGCUUUUUAAGGUGUUAGUGUUAUUUUAUUUCUACUCAAAGAUCUCCCUUUAACAUUUCUGGUAAGUCAGGUUUGGUGGUAAUGAACUCCCUGAGUUUUUGUUUGAGAAAGUCUUUAUCCCUCCUUUGCUUCUGAAGGACAACUUCACUGGGUAUAAAAUUCUUCAUUGAUAGUUGUUUUCUUUGAAUAUUUUGAAUAUAUAAUCUCAUUGUGUCCUGGCCUGCAAAGUUUAAGAAAUAUGAUUAUUAGUUUUACGGAAGUUCCCUUGUAUGUAACUCUUUUUGUGCUGCUCUUAAAACUCCCUGUAUUUUACUUUUGAAAAUUUAAUAUGUCUUGGUGUAGCCCUAUUCAGUUUCAAGCUAUCUUGGAUCUCGUGAGCCUCAUUGAUCUGGAUGUUCAUGUCUUUCUUUUAGUUUAGGAACUUUUUAGCCAUUGCUUUUUUUUUAAGGAGAUUUUAUUUUUUUUAUUGUGUGAUUAUUUUUUCCCCAAUACAUUAUUUUGUUUUCUACUGUACAGCAUGGUGACUCAGUUACACACAUACAUGUAUACAUUCUUUUUGCUCACAUUGUCAUGCUCCAUCAUAAGUGACUAGACAUAGUUACCAGUGAUACACAGCAGAAUCUCAUUGCUGAUCCAUUCCAAAGGCAAUAGUCUGCAUCUGUUAACCCCAAGCUCCCAGUCUAUCCCACUAAUUACCCCUCCCCUUCCCCCUUGGAAACCACAAGUCUAUUCUCCAAGUCCAUAAUUUUCUUUUCUGUGGAAAGUUUCAUUUGUGCCAUUACUGUUUUUUUUUUUACUUUCAAUACCUUUCUCUUUGUCCUUUUGGAAUUUCCAUUAUGUGAAUAUUGUUCAUUUUCAUUGUGUCAUAAUUUGAGUAUGCUUUAUCCACCCCUUUUCAUUCUUUAUUUUUUGCUUCUCUGACAUUUGUAAUGUCCUAUCCUCCGAGUCACUGAUUCUUUCUUCUGCAUGGUCAAGUCUACUUUUGAAACUCUGUAUUGUAUUCUUCAGUUAUUGUAUUUCUGAAUUCCAGGAGUUCUGAUUUCUUUUGAUGGUUGCCCAUGUUUUCUUGUAGUUCAUUUAAUGUCCUUACAAGGAUCACUCUGAACUUUUUGUCUGACGGUUCAUAGAUUUUAGUUUCUUUAGGAUUGGUUAUUGGUGCUUUAUUUAUUUUGGUGGUAUCAUAUUUAUCCAAUUUUUUGUGAUCCUUUGAUUCUUUACAUUGCUUUUAGUGCAUUUGCGUAAUUAGGCUCUUCCAGACGUUAAAGGUUGGCUUUGGUUGAGACAGAUCUUUACAAGUCAGUUCAGUCAACUCACUUCUGGGUGUGUCUGCUGGUAAUGUCUUUGGGCAGGUAGGGCCUGAUAUUAUGGCCUAUUUUGAGGCAAGGAAAGUAUUCUAGCUCUGAGAAGAGGCAUGGAAGUGUGUGUGUCACUGACUAAGACCAUUCGUAUAGGACUUCUGGCUCAGUUCCCAGUGUAAGUUAGGCUGUAGGUUGGGCUUCAUGGUUGCUUGGAUUCUCUGGUCAGGCCAAGACUGGAUACUAUAUUCAGUAACAGAUGGGGCUAUGAAUUAGCUUCCUUCUCUAAUCAGGGCAAAGAGACUGGACCCAGGGUCUGUAUGCCUCAUUUUUGGGGAGGCUCAAAUCAGGCCAGAGUACACUGAAUUCCCUGGUAAAAUGAGGCCACCAGUUUUGCUCUGCAGAUGGGGGAAACAACAGGUUUUGCUCAUUAUUUAAGUGCUACUAUACUUAGGGCUGUUGUAUGGGCUACACAGCUUCACAGCUUCCCAUGUACUCUGGUUCAGUGAUCUGAAGGCAGUAUUCACUGGUUAGUCAGGCUACAAAUUAGAUUCCACUGUCUUAGUUUUAUAAACUGUAAGCUCUCUUUUCCCACCUUAUGGCCCAAGUGCUUCUGGACUGCACAUUUUUCAGGACUUCUCUCUGGCUCUUCUGAUCAAAUAGGGGCUGGAAGACUCUUCCACAGUCUCAGCUCCUUUGCCUGGGUGGAUGGGGAGGGGCCACUCCAAACUACUCUGUUUCUCAAACAAGAUCUCCAAUUGGGAGAGGCUGGGAGGUGCACUUAGCCUUGGCUUUGAAUUAAUCCCCCUGUUUCUGCUCCAUGCCUGGUAGUGACUUUUUUGGGGGGUAAUCUGCUCUGCCUGCCUGUCUCUAUCCUCAAGCGCUGCUGGGCCACACUGCUUCAAGGAGUUAUUCCCAGCCCUUCUGGUCACAUGGGACUGGAAGACACUCUGCACAGUAAGUGGGGCUGUGCUUUGGCUCCUUGCCUCGAUGUGGGCAACCCAGGCUCUAAAUCUGGCAGAACCCCUUGUUUAACCAUCUGAAUUAAGCCCAUCUAUACCCUGCUGAGCCCCUGGUCAGAGUGAGCCACUGAUUUGUUCCACAGAUGAACCAAACCAUUAGUUGGGGUUACUACUUGGACACUGAAGUUAAGAAUUCCAUCAGCCAAGAUCCCUGUGUUGGUCGUUGCAAGCCCCUCCCCCUUCUCUAUCACGAAUUCCUAGUAUUUGGGUCCCACAGAUUUCCCUGCAAUUUUUAAGGUACAAGAUAAGAGUUAGGAUCUUCUGCAGUAUAACCCACAAUGCUGAGGGGAGCUGGUUGUCUGCCCUGGGUUCCUGUCUCCUACUGGGGGAACCAAAGUUUAUCUCUCCGUGUAGUGCUGCACUGUCCUGGGGAAGGGGAAGUGCAGUCAACCCAGUAACUGCUUCUCUCACAUCUAAUUCAGUCUGUUUUGGUCUCUCAGGUACAGCCUCACCUUCACUACCCCCACCCUUGUGAGGAGAACUGAAAUCGGGAACCACCUAUGUUGCCAUCUUUUUGACAUCACUAUUCCAGGAAGCUCUUUAAAUUAUGCUUUGUCCCUGAUGCAUAUCCAGUAGACCCACCAUUUGAUUACCUUCAUUCCCUUCUUAUAAAUAGCUUUCAUAAUGUCCUCAUAAUUUGUUAGGUACUUUUCACAGCACUUUACCGAUAUUAUUUUAUGUAAUGCUCAUAAAUUAUAUCAUGUAAAUAAUGUUUUUAUUCCCACUUUGCAAGGAAAUAAUUGGGGCACAGAGCAAAUGAAUCAUUUAUAUAAGGUCUCACAGGUGUAAGUCAUAGAGGCAGGAUUAAAACACACAAUCAAAGCCUGUGCUUUUAACUACUUAAGAUUUUCUCUUGCUAUCCAUGCAGAUCCUAGUUGAUAGGUGAGCAUGUUUCAGCUGAGCCAUUGAUAGGCAAGAAAUCUAAACCCAAAGUUGUGGGUUAAAGAUUUUAAAUCAUUAAGAUCUCUUGGACAAGGUAACUCAAAAUUCCUAGAUCUCACCAGAAAAUAAAAGGAACUUCCUAAUGACAAAGACUAAAACAUUUCUGUAAUUUGAGCUAUUCCAUUGUUUCUCCUGAUGUUUCUUCCCUUUGCAGCUUUCAUGUUAUGAUAUGUGGGUGACUUAAUUAGUAGGAAGAAGUAGAGAUUGGAAUGGGAAUUUGAAAUCCUCUGGAGAGGAGAAUGUUUUGUUAUAGUUGUUCAUUUAAUUGUUUUGAACUAUGCAAAUCUUAGGAAGGUGCAUAAAGUUGUAGCUCUUCUUUUUCGCUGACUUAUAAGAAGCUUAUAAAAUACCCAGUUAUGGAAAGCUAAAUGUGUGUCUUGUUUGAAAUUUCUUUGCGGACCCUCAAAUGGCAUUGAUUAUUGAAAAGGGUGCUGGUAUUGGUAGCUUGAAUGACAGAUGUAAGCCUCUUAAAAUCAAAUACUAGAAUAGGUAGGUGGUCAUUAGGUAAUUGUUGCUCAGAACCAGAGAAAGGUUCAGGUAAAAUUUAGAUGAGGUUCAGGGAGUUCCCGCUGUGGCUCAGUGGUAACGAACAAAACUAGUAUCCAUGAAGAUGUGGGUUUGAUUCCUGACCUCACUCUGUGGGUUAAAGAUCUGGCAUUGCCAUGAGCUAUGGUAUAGGUCACAGAUGUGGCUUGGAUCCCCCAUGGCUGUGGGCAUAAGUAGGCAGCUGCAACUCCAAGUCAGUCCCUAGCUUGGGAACUUCCAUAUGCUGUGGGUGUGGCCCUAACAAAAGUUAGUAGAGGUUCAAAAUAAAACAGAGUAUAAGGUGCUUGUGUGUUCAGACCACCCCAUCCUAUUAAAUAAACUAUUGGCCCUCUGGUGGUAAGUUGAUCUCUGUUUAUAAAUUAUCUAGACAGCUCAUUCAGCUUUUUUUCUUAAAUGUGGCUUCAUAAAUUAUUCAACAUAGUUACCCAAAUAUCAUGUAGCUUAAAAUUACAUUUGCCUCCCUCAAGCAUUUCAUGUAUAACACUGUCAUACAUUUUGUAGAACCAAAAUGUUCACAAUUAACUCAUACACUAGUAUUUUCUAAUAUUUUACUUGCUGGUCAGUAUCACGCUAUAUUUCUAUCAUUGUCCUGUAAUACUGGUAGAUAACAGUACAAAAGAUAGAACUGUAUUAGCUAUGAUUGUACUAUUCUGCAGAUAACAAAAAUAUAUAGUAUAUGAAUUAUUCUAAAAUACACAAAUAAUAUAUACAGUGAAUCGGCUAUAUUGAAAUAAAAAAUACAAAUACAGCAUUGUGAUUUUUUUCAAUUGCAGUUAGUUUUUCAAAACCUGCAAGAUCAAGAUACAAUAAAUUACUAUUCAUAUACAUUACAUGUUUUCUUUUGUCCAUUUACUCUAUUAGGCUAUUUUUCUUUUUUUCCUAAGUGUAUUAAAAAUCACUUUAUUUUGAGUUCCUACUGUAGUGCAGAGGGUUAAGAAUCAACUGCAGCAGCUUGGGUUGCAGGUUUGAUCCCUGGCCUGGCACAGUCUGUUAAAGGAUCCAGAGUUGCUGUGGCAUAGGUCACAGCUGUGGCUUGGAUCUGAUUUCCUGGCCCAGGAACUCUGUAUGCUGCCAGCUAGCCAAAAAAGAAAAAAAAA